rnacentral:rRNA from 1 species
GACGAACGCUGGCGGCGUGCUUAACACAUGCAAGUCGAACGGAAAGGCCCUGCUUUUGUGGGGUGCUCGAGUGGCGAACGGGUGAGUAACACGUGAGUAACCUGCCCUUGACUUUGGGAUAACUUCAGGAAACUGGGGCUAAUACCGGAUAGGAGCUCCUGCUGCAUGGUGGGGGUUGGAAAGUUUCGGCGGUUGGGGAUGGACUCGCGGCUUAUCAGCUUGUUGGUGGGGUAGUGGCAUACCCAGCGUUUGGCUGGUAGCCGGCCUGGGAGGGGGGACGGGCACCAUGGGACUGAGAUACGGCCCAGACGCCUACGGGAGGCAGCAGGGGGGAAUAUUGCACAAUGGGCGGAAGCCUGAUGCAGCAACGCCGCGUGCGGGAUGACGGCCUUCGGGUUGUAAACCGCUUUCGCCUGUGACGAAGCGUGAGUGACGGUAAUGGGUAAAGAAGCACCGGCUAACUACGUG